rnacentral:rRNA from 1 species
GACAGAGGAUGCAAGCGUUAUCCGGAAUGAUUGGGCGUAAAGCGUCUGUAGGUGGCUUUUUAAGUCCGCCGUCAAAUCCCAGGGCUCAACCCUGGACAGGCGGUGGAAACUACCAAGCUGGAGUACGGUAGGGGCAGAGGGAAUUUCCGGUGGAGCGGUGAAAUGCGUAGAGAUCAGGAGGAACAUCCAUGGCGAAGGCAGCUACCUGGACCAACACUGACACUGAGGCACGAAAGCGUGGGGAGCAAACAGG